ensembl:lncRNA
GUGAAGGUCACUGGCCUGUUGAGUUAGCAUCUAUCUGUAGCUAGUGAAGGUCACUAGCCUGUUGAGUUAGCAUCUAUCUGUAGCUAGUGAAGGUCACUGGCCUGUUGAGUUAGCAUCUACUGUAUCUUUAGCUAGUGAAGAUCACUGGCCUGUUUAGUUACCAUCUACUGUAUCUGUAGCUAGUGAAGAUCACUGGCCUGUUUAGUUAGCAUCUACUCUGUCUGUAGCUAGUGAAGGUCACUGGCCUGUUGAGUUAGCAUCCGUCUGUAGCUAGCGAAGGUCACUAGUGUGUUGAGUUAGCAUCUGUCUGUAGCUAGUGAAGGUCACUGGCCUGUUGAGUUAGCAUCUGUCUGUAGCUAGUCUGUUAAGUUAGCAUCUGUCUGUAGCUAGUGAAGGUCACUGGCCUGUUGAGUUAGCAUCUACUGUAUCUGUAGCUAGUGAAGGUCACUGGCCUGUUGAGUUAGCAUUAGCUAGUGAAGGUCACUGGCCUGUCGAGUUAGCCUGGCCUUUCUGUAGCUAGUGAAGGUCACUGGCCUGUUGAGUUAGCAUCUGUCUGUAGCUAGUGAAGGUCACUGGCCUGUUGAGUUAGCCUGGCCUUUCUGUAGCUAGUCUGUUGAGUUAGCAUCUCUGUAGCUAGUGAAGGUCACUGGCCUGUUGAGUUGACCUGGCCUUUCUGUAGCUAGUGAAGGUCACUGGCCUGUUGAGUUAGCAUCUACUGUAUCUGUAGCUAGUGAAGGUCACUGGCCUGUUGAGUUAGCAUCUACUGUAUCUGUAGCUAGUGAAGGUCACUGGCCUGUUUAGUUAGCAUCUACUGUAUCUGUAGCUAGUGAAGGUCACUGGUCUGU